GAUGAACGCUGGCGGCGUGCCUAAUACAUGCAAGUCGAGCGAAUGGAUUAAGAGCUUGCUCUUAUGAAGUUAGCGGCGGACGGGUGAGUAACACGUGGGUAACCUGCCCAUAAGACUGGGAUAACUCCGGGAAACCGGGGCUAAUACCGGAUAACAUUUUGAACCGCAUGGUUCGAAAUUGAAAGGCGGCUUCGGCUGUCACUUAUGGAUGGACCCGCGUCGCACUAGCUAGUUGGUGAGGUAACGGCUCACCAAGGCAACGAUGCGUAGCCGACCUGAGAGGGUGAUCGGCCACACUGGGACUGCGACACGGCCCAGACUCCUACGGGAGGCAGCAGUAGGGAAUUUUCCGCAAUGGACGAAAGUCUGACGGAGCAACGCCGCGUGAGUGAUGAAGGCUUUCGGGUCGUAAAACUCUGUUGUUAGGGAAGAACAAGUGCUAGUUGAAUAAGCUGGCACCUUGACGGUACCUAACCAGAAAGCCACGGCUAACUACGUGCCAGCCGCCGCAGUAA
rnacentral:rRNA from 1 species